rnacentral:lncRNA from 1 species
UGUAGGCAACAAUUCUUGGAAGAGCUGGAUUUGAGUCCUGGGGGGUCUUCCAGGCAGCAAGCAGUGGGAAAGCUUUCUUUGGCUGGCCCCCAAACUGACCCAGUGCGUAGUCAUGGGUAUUGCAGAAAGUCACAGUGCAAUUACUUCCUUGAAUGGACUCACACAGAAGCAACAAGAAACACUAUUAAAGUAGCAGUAGCAAGAGCAAAAAAACAAAAAAAACCCACCACCACCAACAGCAACCAAAAAAAACCAACUCUUUGCAGCUGAAAUCAAGACAUGACUGAGGAGAACUCAAAAAACCUAGGAAAGGAGGAAGGCCCAACAUAGCAAACCACCUACUCCCUUCUCUGUCUCACGGCAGAAGAGCUUUUCCCCAUGGCCACCACCACCAGCAGCCCAUAAGGAGUUCUGCCGGAUGCCUGCGACUCACCCUUCAGGGCAGUGGGCUCCGCUCUGGCCCAGGGCAGGUCCAGAAAUGCUGUCCAAGUGCCUAGGCCAGAACUUGGGAAUCCCAAGAGCCUGCUUGUUACUCUAUCUCACUGUAGCCAAGUGGGUACUUAGGGUGGAAGACAAAGAACUCUUUAUUUUUCCCUCUGCUUUUCUCAAGCAGAUGGAGUCUUUCACUGUAGUCACCAUAGUUUGAAUGUGCUGAGUAUCACCUGAAGCUAGCACAUCUCAGAGCCUCACCCAAGGCCCACAGCAUACUACCUGGGUACCACUGCUGGUUAUUGAGGGCCCAAGGGUUCUUUACUCAGCAAAUGGUAAAUCCUGUCAGUACUGUGUCCUUUCCUUCAAAGAAUCAUGUUCCCUUCUCACCCAGGGUGUGUCUAGAAAUGUUGUCUGGAAGCUAGGGCCUUGAGUGGGGGCCUUACAUCUCUGCCUGGUGCCUUGUCCUAAUGUGUCUGAGCUGGUACCCAAGGUGCAAGACAAAGUCCUCUUUAUUCUUUGCUCUCCUUUCCUCAACCAGAAGGAUGGAGUCACUUUUUUGCUGCAAGCUGCACUGCCUAGGGUUGGAAGGGGGUGACACAAGCCUUAGCUGCCCUGUCUGGUGUCUCCAUAGGUUAUGUGCUGCCCUACUCCACUGGCUCUAAGCCCAUAGCAAUAGGACUUGCCGAGGAAUUGUAGUCCUUGUGUCCUAAACUGCCUUUCAAGUUUACCUAGGACCCCAGAGCACUUUAGCCCAUUGUGGCAAAGCUUGCCAGGAAACUCAAGUUCUGACAGCUAGGAUGGGUGAUUUCCCUCUGGCUAGGUCUGGCCCAAAUGCUCCCUCCAUGGUCAGGCACCAGCUGAGGCAAGCAUAGCUUUGCUCUUUGCUGUGACAGGGCAGUACUGAGUUCAAUGCAGAUUCCACCAAUUGCUAUGCUGUCCCUCCCCAAAGUGCACAGUUUCUCUCUCUCCAUGCCAUGUAGCUGCUGCUGGGAGAUGGGGGAGGGGUGGAGUCCACAUCUCAAGACUGUCCUUCCUACCCUCUUCAGUGCCUUUCAGCUAUAUGAAGAUAAAACCAGGUACUGUGAGUUACUCACCUGAUUUUUGGUUCUUAUGAUGGUGCUAUUUUGUGUGAAGUUAGUUGUUAGAAUUUGGUGUUCCAGCUGGAGGGACAAUCUGUAGGGCUUUUAUUUGACUAUUUUGCUCUGCCCUCUCAAUUAAUAUAACACUAAAGUGUCACCCAUAUUUUAUUUCAAAAGCCUUACAUAAACAGAUAAACUAAAAAAUCAUAGGUCCACUAAAUAAAGUUUUCUAGAUAAACCAAAAAUAA